rnacentral:rRNA from 1 species
UGAGGCGCGCCGAGUUUGAUCCUGGCUCAGAGUGAACGCUGGCGGCGUGCUUAACACAUGCAAGUCGAACGAUGAAGCCUAGCUUGCUAGGUGGAUUAGUGGCGCACGGGUGAGUAAUAUAUAGGUAAUGUGCCUCUUAGUCUGGGAUAGCCACUGGAAACGGUGAUUAAUACUAGAUACUCCUUCUAAUCUCAAGGUUAGUCGGGAAAGUUUUUCGCUAAGAGAUCGGCCUAUAUCCCAUCAGUUAGUUGGUAAGGUAAUGGCUUACCAAGGCAAUGACGGGUAGCGGGUUUGAGAGGAUGAUCCGCCACACUGGUACUGAGACACGGACCAGACUCCUACGGGAGGCAGCAGUGAGGAAUAUUGCACAAUGGGGGAAACCCUGAUGCAGCAACGCCGCGUGGAGGAUGACGCAUUUCGGUGUGUAAACUCCUUUUAUAUGUCAAGAAAAUGACGGUAGCAUAUGAAUAAGCACCGGCUAACUCCGUGCCAGCAGCCGCGGUAAUA